AGCCAUGAGAAACCAAAGAAACUGGUCCACCAUGGACCGCACUAGUGUGUGGACCACAUGAAGGCUGACAGGCCGUAUGCACCUGCUAAGCCUAGCCCACGAUCGACCCGCACGCACCCGUGUGCUAGACUGCAUGCCUAUGCCUAGCCCGCAUGCUGGCCUGGGUUGGGUCGCAUCUGGCUACUAGGCCUGGGCCACCAACUGCUAUCUUCUGGCCUGUGCAUUGCGGGCUCCACUGCUCCACAUGCUGUAGGUCC
rnacentral:lncRNA from 1 species